AUGACUACCGUUCGAGGCUUUGUGGUCUGGGAGCUUGUGAAGAAGAACAACUGCUUCUUGAUAAAACAGUUCCGCAACAGCAACGCCAAGCUGCGGUUCAGCAAGGAGUCCAACAACCUCUACAAUGUCAACUCCUACAAAUUCUCAAGCUUGGCGAACAGCAAGACCGUGGCGGUCCAGCCAUCAGCGGGAGAGGACAAGGCUGUUGUCCGGUCCACGACCAAGACCAAGAAGCAGAACACCCCUGCCAAGCUCCAGCACAAGACUCUGAUGCGCAAGGAGUUCCGCAAGAUGGCCAAGUCUGUCAAGAAUUAG
rnacentral:rRNA from 1 species